rnacentral:rRNA from 2 species
UACGGAGGAUCCAAGCGUUAUCCGGAUUUAUUGGGUUUAAAGGGUGCGUAGGCGGAAUAGUAAGUCAGUGGUGAAAGCCUGCAGCUUAACUGUAGAAUUGCCAUUGAUACUGCUAAUCUUGAGUACAUAUGAAGUGGGCGGAAUGUGUCAUGUAGCGGUGAAAUGCUUAGAUAUGACACAGAACACCGAUUGCGAAGGCAGCUCACUAAACUGUAACUGACGCUGAGGCACGAAAGCAUGGGGAGCAAACAGG